UGCAGUCGAGAAUCUUCCGCAAUGGACGAAAGUCUGACGGAGCGACGCCGCGUGGAGGAUGAAGUGCUUCGGCAUGUAAACUCCUUUUGCCAGGGAAAAAGUCUAUUGAUUGUACCUGGAGAAUAAGAGGUUGCUAAACUCGUGCCAGCAGCAGCGGUAAUACGAGUGCCUCGAGCGUUAUCCGGAAUUAUUGGGCGUAAAGGGUGCGUAGGCGGUUUUGUUAGUCCCUUGUUAAAUUUCCCGGCUCAACCGGGAACCUGCACGGGAAACGGCAAAACUACAGAGGAUGGUAGGGGUCUGCGGAACUCAUGGUGUAGCGGUGAAAUGCGUUGAUAUCAUGGGGAACACCGAAAGCGAAGGCAAAAGACUGGUCCACUCCUGACGCUGAAGCACGAAAGCGUGGGUCGCGAAUGGGAUUAGAUACCCCAGUAGUCCACGCCCUAAACGAUGAUCUCUCGCUUUGAGGAGUAUCGACCCUCUUCGAGGCUAAGUUAACACGAUAAGAGAUCCGCCUGGGUAGUACGGCCGCAAGGUUGAAACUCAAAGGAAUAGACGGGGACUUGCACAAGCGGUGGAACAUGUGGUUCAAUUCGACGCUAAACGAAGAACCUUACCAGGGUUAGAAAUCCAUUCGAAGACCAGCAGAAACGUUGGUCGCCGCAAGGCGGAUGGACAGGUGCUGCAUGGCUGUCGUCAGUUCGUGGUUUGAACUGUUCUCUUCAGUGAGGUAACGAACGCAACCCCUGUUGUCUGUUACAAGUGUCAGACGAGACCGCCCCGCCCAGAACGCAGAAGUAUGAAGUAUGAGGUAUUAAGUAUAUGAAGUAUAGGCGCAAUUUGCGAUUAUACCUUAUACCUGAUACUUAAUACCUAAUACUUGUGAUUUCCGGGCGGGGAGGAAGGUGGGGAUGACGCCAAGUCAGCAUGGCCCUUUGACACCCUGGGCUACACACGUGUUACAAUCGCAUCUACAACGGGACGCAAUAUCGCAAGAUGGAGCAAACCCUUACAAAAGAUGCGCCAGUUCGGAUAGGAGUCUGCAACUCGACUCCAUGAAGCCGGAAUCGCUAGUAAUCGCAGGUCAGCUAUACUGCGGUGAAUACGUUCUCAAGUCUUGUACUCACCGCCCGUCAACCCAAGGGAGUCGGAGGUGCCCGAAAUCUCGCCUCGCGCGGGCCUACGGCAAAUUCGAUGACAGGGGGUAAGUCGUAACAAGGCACGGGUAGCGGAAGCUGCUCGUG
rnacentral:rRNA from 1 species